AACGAACGCUGGCGGCAGGCUUAACACAUGCAAGUCGAACGCCCCGCAAGGGGAGUGGCAGACGGGUGAGUAACGCGUGGGAAUCUACCCAGUUCUACGGAACAACUGAGGGAAACUUCAGCUAAUACCGUAUACGCCCUACGGGGGAAAGAUUUAUCGGAAUUGGAUGCGCCCGCGUUGGAUUAGCUAGUUGGUGGGGUAAUGGCCUACCAAGGCGACGAUCCAUAGCUGGUCUGAGAGGAUGAUCAGCCACACUGGGACUGAGACACGGCCCAGACUCCUACGGGAGGCAGCAGUGGGGAAUAUUGGACAAUGGGCGCAAGCCUGAUCCAGCCAUGCCGCGUGAGUGAUGAAGGCCUUAGGGUUGUAAAGCUCUUUCAGUGGGGACGAUAAUGACGGUACCCACAGAAGAAGCCCCGGCUAACUUCGUGCCAGCCGCCGCUGUAAUAC
rnacentral:rRNA from 1 species